GACGAACGCUGGCGGCGUGCUUAACACAUGCAAGUCGAACGGAAAGGCCCUGCUUUUGUGGGGUGCUCGAGUGGCGAACGGGUGAGUAACACGUGAGUAACCUGCCCUUGACUUUGGGAUAACUUCAGGAAACUGGGGCUAAUACCGGAUAGGAGCUCCUGCUGCAUGGUGGGGGUUGGAAAGUUUCGGCGGUUGGGGAUGGACUCGCGGCUUAUCAGCUUGUUGGUGGGGUAGUGGCUUACCAAGGCUUUGACGGGUAGCCGGCCUGAGAGGGUGACCGGCCACUUUGGGCCUGAGAUCCGGCCCAGCCCCCUCCGGGGGGGAGCAGGGGGGAAUUUUGCACAAUGGGGGGAAGCCUGAUGCAGCAACGCCGCGUGCGGGAUGGCGGCCUUCGGGUUGUAACCCGCUUUCGCCUGGGACGAAGCGUGGGUGACGGUAAUGGGAAAAGAAGCCCCGGCUAACUCCGU
rnacentral:rRNA from 1 species